rnacentral:rRNA from 1 species
GACGAACGCUGGCGGCGUGCUUAACACAUGCAAGUCGAACGGAAAGGCCCUGCUUUUGUGGGGUGCUCGAGUGGCGAACGGGUGAGUAACACGUGAGUAACCUGCCCUUGACUUUGGGAUAACUUCAGGAAACUGGGGCUAAUACCGGAUAGGAGCUCCUGCUGCAUGGUGGGGGUUGGAAAGUUUCGGCGGUUGGGGAUGGACUCGCGGCUUAUCAGCUUGUUGGUGGGGUAGUGGCUUACCAAGGCUUUGACGGGUAGCCGGCCUGAGAGGGUGACCGGCCACAUUGGGACUGAGAUACGGCCCAGACUCCUACGGGAGGCAGCAGUGGGGAAUAUUGCACAAUGGGCGGAAGCCUGAUGCAGCAACGCCGCGUGCGGGAUGACGGCCUUCGGGUUGUAAACCGCUUUCGCCUGUGACGAGGCGUGAGUGACGGUAAUGGGUAAAGAAGCACCGGCUAACUACGUGCCAGCAGCCGCGGUGAUACGUAGGGUACGAGCGUUGUCCGGAUUUAUUGGGCGUAAAGGGCUCGUAGGUGGUUGAUCGCGUCGGAAGUGUAAUCUUGGGGCUUAACCCUGAGCGUGCUUUCGAUACGGGUUGACUUGAGGAAGGUAGGGGAGAAUGGAAUUCCUGGUGGAGCGGUGGAAUGCGCAGAUAUCAGGAGGAACACCAGUGGCGAAGGCGGUUCUCUGGGCCUUUCCUGACGCUGAGGAGCGAAAGCGUGGGGAGCGAACAGGCUUAGAUACCCUGGUAGUCCACGCUGUAAACGGUGGGUACUAGGUGUGGGGUCCAUUCCACGGGUUCCGUGCCGUAGCUAACGCUUUAAGUACCCCGCCUGGGGAGUACGGCCGCAAGGCUAAAACUCAAAGGAAUUGACGGGGCCCCGCACAAGCGGCGGAGCAUGCGGAUUAAUUCGAUGCAACGCGUAGAACCUUACCUGGGUUUGACAUGGAUCGGGAGCGCUCAGAGAUGGGUGUGCCUCUUUUGGGGUCGGUUCACAGGUGGUGCAUGGCUGUCGUCAGCUCGUGUCGUGAGAUGUUGGGUUAAGUCCCGCAACGAGCGCAACCCUUGUUCACUGUUGCCAGCACGUUAUGGUGGGGACUCAGUGGAGACCGCCGGGGUCAACUCGGAGGAAGGUGGGGAUGACGUCAAGUCAUCAUGCCCCUUAUGUCCAGGGCUUCACGCAUGCUACAAUGGCUGGUACAGAGAGUGGCGAGCCUGUGAGGGUGAGCGAAUCUCGGAAAGCCGGUCUCAGUUCGGAUUGGGGUCUGCAACUCGACCUCAUGAAGUCGGAGUCGCUAGUAAUCGCAGAUCAGCAACGCUGCGGUGAAUACGUUCCCGGG